rnacentral:rRNA from 1 species
AGAGUUUGAUCCUGGCUCAGGAUGAACGCUGGCGGCGUGCCUAAUACAUGCAAGUCGAACGCACAGCGAAAGGUGCUUGCACCUUUCAAGUGAGUGGCGAACGGGUGAGUAACACGUGGAUAACCUACCUCAAGGUUGGGGAUAACAUUUGGAAACAGAUGCUAAUACCGAAUAAAACUUCGUAUCGCAUGAUACAAGGUUAAAAGGCGCUACGGCGUCACCUAGAGAUGGAUCCGCGGUGCAUUAGUUAGUUGGUGGGGUAAAGGCUUACCAAGACAAUGAUGCAUAGCCGAGUUGAGAGACUGAUCGGCCACAUUGGGACUGAGACACGGCCCAAACUCCUACGGGAGGCUGCAGUAGGGAAUCUUCCACAAUGGGCGAAAGCCUGAUGGAGCAACGCCGCGUGUGUGAUGAAGGCUUUCGGGUCGUAAAGCACUGUUGUAUGGGAAGAACAGCUAGAGUAGGGAAUGACUUUAGUUUGACGGUACCAUACCAGAAAGGGACGGCUAAAUACGUGCCAGCAGCCGCGGUAAUACGUAUGUCCCGAGCGUUAUCCGGAUUUAUUGGGCGUAAAGCGAGCGCAGACGGUUGAUUAAGUCUGAUGUGAAAGCCCGGAGCUCAACUCCGGAAAGGCAUUGGAAACUGGUCAACUUGAGUGCAGUAGAGGUAAGUGGAACUCCAUGUGUAGCGGUGGAAUGCGUAGAUAUAUGGAAGAACACCAGCGGCGAAGGCGGCUUACUGGACUGUAACUGACGUUGAGGCUCGAAAGUGUGGGUAGCAAACAGGAUUAGAUACCCUGGUAGUCCACACCGUAAACGAUGA